UGAUGUGUUAUAGAAUUGUUCUCCUGAAAUGUAUAUAAUUUUUUUAACCAAUGCACGCCAAUAAGUUCAAUAAAAAUAAAUAUUUAUUUUUUCACUUUAUACCCUAACAUUGCAGUUUCUAUACUUAUACCAAGUUAUAUAUGUACAAAAGUAGAAUUAAGGUAGUCAAACCUAAGUGGGGCAUUUAUCACCAGUCCUUGAGAAUUUUAAUCUCUCAAACUUGCAACACAUGCUAUUAUUUCUGGAGAAAUGGAAGUAAGGAAGUACUAGUUAAUCCCAAGAGGAGUUGUGUGACAGGAGCCAGCUGCUACAGUUGUGUAUCAGUGCAGAUGUGCUGGAAAAUCAGGAAAUUGAUUUGCUAAAUCUGAAAAUGGCUACCACCAUGCCAUGCUCAGGUCUGAUGGAUAUACCUUAGUUGACUUAAUUAAGUCAACAGUAGUCAAGAUAAUUAUACGAAUCAUUGAAUGUAUCUUUGUGCUAAAGUGGACGCCCAUUAUGCACAAAGUUGAAAGUGUCAUAGAGAAGAGCAAUCCUUUGUUUCUCUUUUCUUUUAGGCCUGAUGACCAAGUAGCACUGCUUUAAUGGAAUGAAGAAGGAGACAGGGUCACUGUCUUAAGGAUGCAACUGUAUUUUGUGGUCUGAAGCAGUUCCCGUUACUCUCAGGUUUUCAUGAUUCAGUUACUAGUUGGCAGCAAACUCCAACACAGAGUGUCGAAGGGUCAUUUAAAUUUUGCAUGAGUGUCUUUCCAGAUUAUGGGAAUGAUUUCUUCCCAUUAUUUGUUCCUACCUAGUAUACCUAAUCACAGAGGACAGCUAGAUGCUUUGACUUAAAAAUUGGGUAUAUUAUAUCCAACUGUACAUAAACAAUUUAAUUUUUUGUUUUGUAUAUAAAUACAGUAGGUAUAUCUCAGUUGGGUAUAUAACUCUUAUUUACUCCCUUUCAUUGAACCUUUUGUGACCCAUUCAUGUUUUUACACUGCUGCUUCAUGGGGGAAAUUUUUUUUCCGUAAGUUGUAAAGGGUAGAAUUUUCCUGGCAUUUUUCCUUUUUUGGCUAGCCAAGUAGUAUGCUGUGCUAAAUGGAAAUGUAGAGAUAAUCAAAUUUUCACUUGAGGAGGUGGAUGAAAAAAGAAACAAGAAAAUGGGCAAAAUAUAUUCAAUGAAUGGAAAAUGAAAAACAGAACCGUCUCUGAUGGGGGAAAAGGCAGCGGUGCUAAAUGCUAGGCUGUGUUGGCACUGAACUGGCAGUCUGAGGUUUGAAGACUUUAAUUUCUUAUGUUCACUUGGUAACUAUGGUACCCUUAGUUUGUGAAAUGCUUCUGCGAUCUUAGGUUAUUAGAAAUCAUUUUCUGCCAAAGACCAUGUAUGACCUUUUCAAAAGUACCAAAUUGCUUUUUGGGGGAGGGAUUCUAUCCAAAAUUAAAUUGAUAAUUAUACCAAAAACAGUGGUGUUUAUAGGUCACAUCAUUGAUUCCUCAUUUUAAAAUAGAAGUGGCACCAAAUUCAAAAAGGAAAAUAACAAAAUAGUGAGAGAUCUCCCCCAGCCCCUUUGUUCCUGUUACCCAGGUUUUCUCCUCAGAGAUACUUGGUAUUACCAGUUCUUACAAAUUCUGGGAGAUUUCUUUAUACCCAAGCUCUCCAAUGGUGAUGCAGUAUGAACCGCAAAUGCAAUUUACAAUUUCCUAGGCCCCACAUUAAAAAUGCAAUCUAAACGAUGCAGUGGUUAAUGUGAUUCAAGUUCUAUGGAACAAGGAAGUUGUCUUUAACCAAAUAUUGUACACUGAAUCAUAGUUGAAAUUCAAAUUCAUUACAUAAAAUUUAAAUUUAAAUCCUGAGUCACACUAGCCAUAUCUCUGUGUUGAAGAGUCUUUAGGUGGUUCUUGGCUCUCAUAUUGAACAGUGCAUCUCCUUAAACUUAGGAGCAAAUGACUAAUACAUGCGUAUUGCUUUUUUCUCUUUUAUACACAAUUAGUUCUGCUUUGUACUUUGCAGUUUUACUUAACAAUAUGACUUGAUAAUUAUUCCAUUUCAUUACAUAAAGGGCUCUAUUUUUCCCUAGCUGCGUAUUUUCUUUGGAGGGAUGAACCAUGAUUUAUAAAACCAGCAGCAAUUGAUGGGUUCAUAUGUUUCCUCUUUUUCACCUUUACUCUGGUUAAGUGGUCAUUUUAGCAUCUUUUAUGCAGUUUACAACCUACUUUGCUUAUAGUCUUUCUUGGUAUGUUUAAUUAAAUUAACUAGAUGGUGAACCCCUAAAAAGCAGAGGCUAUAUUCUGGACUACUUUUGUGUAUACUGGUGGGUUUAAUUUAAUUAGUUGCACAUACCUAGAUACAUAAUGAUCAGUUAUUGGAUAGGUAUUUGAAUUUGUGUGAACCUGAGCAAGAGGUCAGUGUUGGGG